GGAAAGAACGUCCAGUGAAACAACUUGUUGUUCAACAAAAUAGCUCUUGAUUCUGUGAAGAGAAAAACAGCAUCCUCUCUUUAGUGUGAUGAAACUGAACCAGCAAAGAGCUCUCUCUUCCUUCAAGACUCAUCAGUGUGGUUCACUUUUUCAUGAAGCCUUUCCAAAUUUAAGAGAGAAGACACUCUGAGGAGUGCUGUACUUGUAUUUAACAAUCAGCUCUUGGAAAGAGACACAGACGCUGACUUGUAGCACUUGCUUGUCACUGUGCUAUGAAUAGUCCUACCAUGACCAAUUUCAAGCUACCAGAGUGAUGUCACUGAAGACAUAUUGGCACUUGCAGAUCCCUACAGGAAUUGCAUUCCCAAUAGGAGCCAACUUUACUGCUCGGGCAGGAGGAAAGAAGAAUUUCUUCUGACCCCCCAACAAUCUCAGCUGAUAAGAAAACACCACAACUCAGCCAAUGAGAAAUCAUCAUCAUCCUGAACUCUCACUUUCCUUCAAAGCAGUCCCUCCCAACUUCUUCCUUUUUUCUAUAAAGUGACAUUCCUCUCCUUUGAUAUCCAGAAUUGACUACAGCUUGCCAAAGCUUGUUUGUCCCAAAUUAGGAUUCCUCUUCUAUUCCCAGAUAAACCCAUUUUGCUGGUAAAAUGAUUAGCUGUUUUACU